rnacentral:rRNA from 1 species
GGAGUUAGCCGGUGCUUCUUCUGUGAGUGAUGUCCUUCCUGCCGGCUAUUAACCCGCAGGCCUUCUUCCUCACUGAAAGUGCUUUACAACCCGAAGGCCUUCUUCACACACGCGGCAUGGCUGGAUCAGGGUUGCCCCCAUUGUCCAAUAUUCCCCACUGCUGCCUCCCGUAGGAGUCUGGGCCGUGUCUCAGUCCCAGUGUGGCUGAUCAUCCUCUCAGACCAGCUACGGAUCGUCGCCUUGGUGAGCCGUUACCUCACCAACCAGCUAAUCCGACAUAGGCUCAUCCGAUAGCGCGAGGCCCGAAGGUCCCCCGCUUUCCCCCGUAGGGCGUAUGCGGUAUUAGCCUGGGUUUCCCCAGGUUAUCCCCCACUACCGGGCAGAUUCCUAUGCAUUACUCACCCGUCCGCCGCUCGCCACCAGGGAGAAAGCUCCCCGUGCUGCCGCUCGACUUGCAUGUGUUAGGCCUGCCGCCAGCGUUCAAUCUGAGCCAGGAUCAAACUCUGA